ACAAAACAAUAAAGAAUAAAAUAGAACUAAAGAAAAAGAGGGCCAAAAUCUAAACAAAAUUACACAAGGAGAUCAAAGGCAGAGCAAAUUCUAACAGUCCUUAUAGCUUUCUUAUUAGUAGAUACUGAGAUUACAUUCAAAUAGUUUUCCAUUUCUUUUAGGAAAACAGAGAAGACAGGUUUACAGUUGGAGAAUUUGCAUUUGUGAAUGUGAAAUUUGUUUAGGAAAAAAUUUAAAUUAAUAACAAAACUGAUAUUUUCGUUUGUGGGGUCAGAGUCAUAAUACCCAAAUAUAAUGUUUUUCAUAUGUACUGAGAAGCCUGGCAAAAUCUUACUUGACAAACACACCAAUAUCAUCCCAAAGUUUCUGAGUGUAGUGACAUGACCAAAAUAAGUGUACAGUUUCUUCAGAACUCGAACAAAAAGAGCUUGGCCAAAAUCUAAACAAAAUUACACAAGGAGAUCAAAGGCAGAGCAAAUUCUAACAGUCCUUAUAGCUUUCUUAUUAGUAGAUACUGAGAUUACAUUCAAAUAGUUUUCCAUUUCUUUUAGGAAAACAGAGAAGACAGGUUUACAGUUGGAGAAUUUGCAUUUGUGAAUGUGAAAUUUGUUUAGGAAAAAAUUUAAAUUAAUAACAAAACUGAUAUUUUCGUUUGUGGGAUCAGAGUCAUAAUACCCAAAUAUAAUGUUUUUCAUAUGUACUGAGAAGCCUGGCAAAAUCUUACUUGACAAACACACCAAUAUCAUCCCAAAGUUUCUUCAGAACUCGAACAAAAAGAGCUUGUAAAAUCAAUGUCAGAUUUAAAUCUUUUUAUAAACAUCUUUACAGGGUAGGACCUGUGUAUGAGCUUAAAAUAAAUUUCUUUCACUUUUUUCUGUGAAAAAGAAUUUUUGCGGUAGAGACCAGAUUUAAUCACCGCGAGAGCUUUCCAAUAUGCGCGCCACCGAGUGACGUCUGUACUUCCCGGUCAGAGAGCACCUGUCCAUCAAAAGCUCACUAUCCAAUCAGAGUAGAUCACUGUUAAGCCC
ensembl:lncRNA